GUUCCCUUUUCUUCCCAGGGCGUACUCAGGAGGAUGACUGCAACUUGGCCCUGAAAGCCUAAAAAUGUCAGCGUCUUUUCUCCCGAUUAUUCUGUCUGAGAUUCAUUUUUCCACGAGAAACAGAUUUCUGAGAGGUGCUGAGAGUAACUUCGCACUACCCUUUGUUCCUAAACUGUGAAUUUAGCACAAUACACACCCUAAAUCCCCCUUUAUUUAGCAGAUUCGGCUUUAAAGCUUUGUUGGAGGCAGACCUGCUCUGCCAGGAACAAAAAAAGCAUAGUAAUUAGUCAAAUUAUGACUUUAUUAUGCAUUUCAUUCAGCGCAGCCUUUUUAACUGGAAGCUUUUCCCAUUAAAGUCUCAUUAAAGAAAUUAUUUAAAUGAGCUGCCGUUUGAAAGAAUUCACGCAAGUGAAACAUAAAUUUCUAUUUAAAUCAAAGAAUCAGAUUAUUAACAGAAUUGCUAUUAAUUUUUUUUAAUCACAGUUUAUCUGUUUAAUCAUUUGGAGUAAAAUGGCCCUCGAGUUAGUCAGCUUGCAGUUAGUUUAAAACUGAGAGAAGAUGGGAUCUGAGGAUGUUUGGAGGCUGUGAAAGAUGAUUAAUACGUUUCGACUGCAGCUCCGUCUUUAAGUUUCAAAGCUGCAGUCUGCAUCUCCUCAGCACUGAUAAAAACUUAUGAAGGGGGAACUUUCACAGUCGUGUCUUCUUACAGUCAGAGGGGCUCACUAAACCUCCACAUCUUUGAGUUUGAGUUAGAAAUAAGCUAAUAAGGUGGGUUGAUUUUCUUUUUUGUCAGUUCUUUUCUUUUUAUGUGAACUGAUUGAUAAACCAGCAUUUGUGUUUGUUUGAGGUAGAAUAUGUAGUUUUGUUCUGAUGUGCAUAUGAUGCGAACUUUAUCGGCCAUCAGCUAUGCAACUGAUUAAAUCCCGCUGCUGUUGUUUGAGGAAUCUUUGUGCAACUUUAACUGCUUAAAUUUGCUGUUUCUAACGAUGAGCACGUUUCGAGGAUGCCGGUCGUUAAUAGCUUUAAUUCUGCAGCGGCAGUCAUUUUCUUUGUUUUCCUUCCCACACUGUUACACGUGCUGUGUUCAUGCCACAUUCACGGUGAAAGUCACACUGGGAAACUGAUCUAACUUGGCAUUAAAUUAUAAAGCAAAUGGCAUCACGUCAACACAGCAGUGUUUGUUUCUUAGGCGAUUAAACCCAAAUGUGAUGCUGUUUAUAAGGUUUGUGCUGUCAAAGCUCAGCAGGAAUCAUUUCACCUCUGCAUCCAUCAUUGCUGAUUUAAGUGCUUCUCACGUCUGUUUCACAGUCGAUCGCUUUAACCAAACCCUAAAAACUUCACAUUUUUGGAAGAAAUGUUUUGGUUGUGGUUCAGUUAUUUUGUUUCCAAUUGCAAUUUAUUUUAUUAAAACUAAUAAAGCAGACACCAAAUAAAGCACUCUGAAACUUUGGCUUUAUUUGGUGUCUGAACUUGUGAGCGAAGCAGACUCAGCUUGGAGCCGAUGCCGACAUCGAUUCUGAGAACUAUGAGGAGAAAUUAGGUUUUCCACACUCGGUGUCUGUGUUUACUCGCCGCUGGUGACGCCGUCUUUCUUUCUUUCUUACACAAACAGCCUUUUUCCCUCUGAAACAGAAAUCCAUCAAGUCAAUAGGCGGGGCAGUUUGCGAACGUCACAUGGUGACAUUCGAUAAACCAGAGUUCAAAUCUAAUUUGUCCUGAAUUAGAUUUGAGUGGGGUCAAUUUCACAAAAUCCUGUUGUGAUUUAUGGAUUAUUCCUUGGAAAAUUUUCUCAUAAUUUCCUAAACAUUUGUUGCUGUUUAAAAGAAAAAUAACAGGUAUGCUUUUUUUUUUUUUAAAGAUCUUUAUUCCCUAUGAGAUAAAAACAAAUGAAUUUGGUACUGUAGCAGAAUAUGGUGCAAAUCUAUGAGUUCAAAAGAUUAAGAAGUGGCUCUACAAUGUGCGCUCUGGACUGCUGAUCAAAGUAAAUACUCGCAAUAUCAGCUGUAAAGUCUAAGGAAAUUAUGAGCAACUCAGUGUCUCAUGAGUGUCGACAGUUGUCAGAUUAUCAGUUUACAUUUCUGUUCGUGUUUUGUCCUGUAGCUUCUGUCAAUAAAAUGUUUUCUCC
ensembl:lncRNA